GUUAAUCAUCUGGGAGGCAAAUAGAAAAAUGUUGCCACAGCCCUGAAGGGAUUCAUCAGUCGUCAAUGCUGUAUCUAUUCAACAAUGGUAGCAACACACACAGCAAUCCAAUCAAGAACUCGGAUCUUUCGAUGUGCUUCGGUGAAGAGCAGCUGAAGAUGUGAGACGGUAUGAACUGAAGGUUGAAUCUAAUAGGAAGUUUUGUGAUGCGAAGGUCUUAACCGAAACGUUUUCUUUUCCUGUUUCGAGCAUGAUCUCCUGUCUGUUCGUGCAUAGCAAAGUCUUAUCACGGCCAUUCUCCAGUGCCUGAGGAAAAUGAAACCUCACGGCCAAAAACGAGCCUGCCUUCCCUCUGAUCAACUCACUACCUAUGUCCACAUUCCAGAAGGAGUACCUUAUUGCCAAAGGAUUGGGGCAGCUGAUUGGUUGCGGCCGAGCAAAUCCGGUGACAGAAUUGUUAUACAAACGACAUUCAACGGUACAUGGCCUCCUCCUAACGCCGACUGGCCAGCUGGUUCCAAGUGAAGAAAAACACAUUCUCUGUUCGGCUUUAUUUCGCUUUGUUGAUGGCAAACUAAAAACAAUUGCCAAAUAGCUCAAAUAGUCGGAUCAAAGUUGUGAGUCUGCCAUUGAUUACAGUGAGAUGGAGAUUGACGUUGACGUAAUCAGAGGAAGGUAUUUUGGCCAACUGAGCCACCACCACCCGACAUCGAAGGGAAAUACCAAACGAAAUUCGUCAAACUGGAGGCAACGGGUAGAAAAUUCACAAGUUGGUCCGUAUAUUCAGAUAAUUCCCCACAAAGGGGAGAGUUUUCCUUCUAUAUUAGUCGUGCCAUCAUAUUUAUUUUGCCAGUAAAACCAAAUGAUGUACAUCUGUUUGUCCAUCCAAGUAGAAAUGCAACUUGCAGACACCAUCAACGAGCUUCUGUCUAUGGAAUCCCAUCGAGAGUCUUCAAACAAACAUCGCAUGAAGCUCAUAGUUGUGCAUGUCUCUCUCUUGCUGCACUCUUUCUUCCGGAUGGAUCAGAUGACCUUAAAUUGGGACGUCUAUUGUUUCAUGAGCGGGGAGGAUGACGUUAUGCCGAACCUUGAGAUUUGUGGAGAUUGACGUCACGUAAUCAUCACAAGUUGAUAUCCCUCAAGAGACCGUGAAUGGCCGAACGCGAGACUCUGGACAAGAGAUUCAGAAAAUUCCACUCACCUGAUGAGCCACAAGUCCCCACAACACCACGUGACAUUCAUCAAAAUGGAAGCAGCAGAAGAUGGCCGGAGCUGAAAGGAGGACGACAUUUUGGGCCGGCCUGGCUCUCAUGGGCGUUCGAUUCGGCCCUUUAGCCCGUCUUACUUGGGAGGAAAACAGCUGGGAUAAUAUGGAACCCAUUACGUAAUUGUUGGCUGUUUAGUCAUAAUCCAAAUAUUGAAGCCCUCAUCAGUUCCAAUUCUUUGCUGCCACUAUAUUAAAGUGGACUGUGAGUGAGUGUGUGUGCCACUCUAGAGAUUGCAGAAAUCACCAAAAUAACUUCUCAUUUAAGAGUUAAGACGAUCUAGGAUUGAUUGUUUUGAG